rnacentral:rRNA from 1 species
CUGAAUAGGGCGUUUAGUAUUUGGUCGUAGACCCGAAACCAGGUGAUCUACCCUUGGUCAGGUUGAAGUUCAGGUAACACUGAAUGGAGGACCGAACCGACUUACGUUGAAAAGUGAGCGGAUGAACUGAGGGUAGCGGAGAAAUUCCAAUCGAACCUGGAGAUAGCUGGUUCUCUCCGAAAUAGCUUUAGGGCUAGCCUCAAGUGAUGAUUAUUGGAGGUAGAGCACUGUUUGGACGAGGGGCCCCUCUCGGGUUACCGAAUUCAGACAAACUCCGAAUGCCAAUUAAUUUAACUUGGGAGUCAGAACAUGGGUGAUAAGGUCCGUGUUCGAAAGGGAAACAGCCCAGACCACCAGCUAAGGUCCCAAAAUAUAUGUUAAGUGGAAAAGGAUGUGGCGUUGCCCAGACAACUAGGAUGUUGGCUUAGAAGCAGCCAUCAUUUAAAGAGUGCGUAAUAGCUCACUAGUCGAGUGACACUGCGCCGA